rnacentral:rRNA from 1 species
CCUCAGAUCAGGUAGGGACACCGCCUGAACUUAAGCAUAUCAAUAAGGCGAGGAACAGAAACCAACAGGGAUUCCCUCAGUAGUGGCGAAUGAAGCGGGAAAAGCUCAAGUUUGAAAUCUGGAGGGUGACCUUCAGAGUUGUAGGCUGACGAGGUGUCGACCGACGCGGUGCGGGCUUAAUUUCCUUGGAACAGGAAGUCAUGGAGGGUGAGAACCCCGUAUGUGGCUCGAAUGCCGUCGCCCUUGUGUCGUAUCCUCCAAGAGUCGGGUUGUUUGGGAAUGCAGCUCAAAAUGGGUGGUAAAUUUCAUCUAAAGCUAAAUACUGGCGAGAGACCGAUAGCGAACAAGUAGAGUGAUCUAAAGAUGAAAAGUACUUUGAAAAGAGAGUGAAACAGUACGUGAAAUUGUUGAAAGGGAAGCGCUUGGUAUCAGCCCGUGGCGUCGGUCCAUCAUCCAGGUCAAGACCUGGUGCACUGGGCCGAGGUCGGGUCAGCGUCGGCUUUGCCCGUCGGAGAAAGGUCAGGGGAACGUGGCUCUCUUUGGGAGCGUUAUAACCCCUGGCGUCAUGCGAUGCGGUGAGGUCGAGGUCUGCGG